rnacentral:rRNA from 1 species
GAUGAACGCUGGCGGCGUGCCUAAUACAUGCAAGUCGAGCGAACGGACGAGAAGCUUGCUUCUCUGAUGUUAGCGGCGGACGGGUGAGUAACACGUGGAUAACCUACCUAUAAGACUGGGAUAACUUCGGGAAACCGGAGCUAAUACCGGAUAAUAUUUUGAACCGCAUGGUUCAAAAGUAAAAGACGGUCUUUCUGUCACUUAUAGAUGGAUCCGCGCUGCAUUAGCUAGUUGGUAAGGUAAAGGCUUACCAAGGCAACGAUGCAUAGCCGACCUGACAGGGGGAUCGGCCACACUGGAACUGAGCCACGGUCCAGACUCCUACGGGAGGCACCAGUAGGCAAUCGUCCGCAAUGGGCGAAAGCCUGACGGAGCAACGGCACGUGAGUGAUGAAGGUCUUCGGAUCGUAAAACUCUGUUAUUAGGGAAGAACAUAUGUGUAAGUAACUGUGCACAUAGUGACGGUACCUAAUCAGAAAGCCACGGCUAACUACGUG